UACGAAGGGGGCUAGCGUUGUUCGGAAUUACUGGGCGUAAAGAGCGCGCAGGCGGUCGUUCAAGUCGCGUGUGAAAGCCCCCAGCUCAACUGGGGAAGUGCCGUGGAUACUGCAAGUCUGGAGGAGGGUAGGGGCAUCUGGAACGCUGGGUGGAGCGGUGAAAUGCGUUGAUAUCCAGCGGAACUCCGGUGGCGAAGGCGAGGUGCUGGACCCUUUCUGACGCUGAGGCGCGAAAGCCAGGGGAGCAAACGGG
rnacentral:rRNA from 1 species